CAGGCAGGCGGGCCGGUAAGUUGGUUGUGAAAUCUCCCUGGCUUAACCGGGAGGGUGCAACUGAGACUGUCGGCCUGGAGGGCAGCAGAGGAGCGUGGAAUUCCGGGUGGAGUGGUGAAAUGCGUAGAGAUCCGGAGGAACACCAGAGGCGAAAGCGGCGCUCUGGGCUGCACCUGACGCUGGACUGCGAAAGCCAGGGGAGCGAACG
rnacentral:rRNA from 1 species